rnacentral:rRNA from 1 species
UACGAGGGAGGGCAAGCGUUGUCCGGAAUCAUUGGGCGUAAAGCGCGUGUAGGCGGCUCAGUAAGUCCGCUCUGAAAGCCCGGGGCUCAACCCCGGGAGGCGGGUGGAUACUGCUGAGCUUGAGUCCGGAAGAGGCGAGUGGAAUUCCCGGUGUAGCGGUGAAAUGCGCAGAUAUCGGGAGGAACACCAAUUGCGAAGGCAGCUCGCUGGGACGUGACUGACGCUGAGACGCGAAAGCGUGGGGAGCGAACAGG